rnacentral:misc_RNA from 1 species
UCUCCGUUGGUGAACCAGCGGAGGGAUCAUUACCGAGUACUACACUCAUAACCCUUUGUGAACCUUUAUAACCUGUUGCUUCGGCGGCGCGGCCCUCGGGUCGUGCCCGCCGGUAUCAUCAGAAUCUCUGUUCGAACCCGACGAUACUUCUGAGUGUUCUAAGCGAAUUGUUAAAACUUUCAACAACGGAUCUCUUGGCUCUCGCAUCGAUGAAGAACGCAGC